rnacentral:rRNA from 1 species
CCUACGGGAGGCAGCAGUGAGGAAUAUUGGUCAAUGGGCGGAAGCCUGAACCAGCCAAGUAGCGUGCGGGAUGAAGGCCCUACGGGUCGUAAACCGCUUUUGCACGGGGAUAACACCCUCCACUUGUGGAGGUCUGCAGGUACCGUGCGAAUAAGGGCCGGCUAAUUCCGUGCCAGCAGCCGCGGUAAUACGGAGGGCCCGAGCGUUAUCCGGAUUCAUUGGGCUUAAAGGGAGCGUAGGCGGGCGAUCAAGUCAGCGGUAAAAUCGCGCGGCUCAACCCCGCACCGCAUUUGAAACUGGACGCCUUGAGAUUACAACAGGCAGGCGGAAUGUAUGGUGUAGCGGUGAAAUGCAUAGAUAUCACACGGAACCCCGAUUGCGAAGGCAGCCUGCCGGGGUGCGACUGACGCUGAGGCUCGAAGGUGUGGGUAUCAAACAGGAUUAGAUACCCCUGUAGUC